rnacentral:rRNA from 1 species
UACGUAGGUGGCAAGCGUUGUCCGGAUUUACUGGGCGUAAAGCGCGCGCAGGCGGCCUGGUCAGUCUGGGGUGAAAUCUCACGGCUCAACCGUGAGUGGUCCCUGGAUACUGCCAGCCUUGAGGUGUCUAGAGGAGAGCGGAAUUCCCGGUGUAGUGGUGGAAUGCGUAGAUAUCGGGAAGAACACCAGUGGCGAAAGCGGCUCUCUGGGGACCACCUGACGCUGAGGCGCGAAAGCGUGGGGAGCGAACAGG